rnacentral:rRNA from 1 species
AGCGAACGCUGGCGGCAGGCUUAACACAUGCAAGUCGAGCGGACCUUUCGGGGUCAGCGGCGGACGGGUGAGUAACGCGUGGGAACGUGCCUUCCGGUUCGGAGUAACCCUGGGAAACUAGGGCUAAUACCGGAUACGCCCUUAUGGGGAAAGGUUUACUGCCGGAAGAUCGGCCCGCGUCUGAUUAGCUAGUUGGUGGGGUAACGGCCUACCAAGGCGACGAUCAGUGGCUGGUCUGAGAGGAUGAUCAGCCACACUGGGACUGAGACACGGCCCAGACUCCUACGGGAGGCAGCAGUGGGGAAUAUUGGACAAUGGGCGCAAGCCUGAUCCAGCCAUGCCGCGUGAGUGAUGAAGGCCUUAGGGUUGUAAAGCUCUUUUAUCCGGGACGAUAAUGACGGUACCGGAGGAAUAAGCCCCGGCUAACUUCGUG